rnacentral:rRNA from 1 species
GACGAACGCUGGCGGCGCGCUUAACACAUGCAAGUCGAACGGAAAGGCCUGCUUUCCCUUGUGGAUUGCGGGUACUCGAGUGGCGAACGGGUGAGUAACACGUGAGUGAUCUGCCCCCAACUUGGGUAUAAGCCUGGGAAACUGGGUCUAAUUCCCGAUAGGACUGCAGGGUGGUGCCUGUGGUGGAAAACGAUUUUCUAGUGGUUGGGGAUGAGCUCGCGGCCUAUCAGCUUGUUGGUGGGGUAAUGGCCUACCAAGGCGGCGACGGGUAGCCGGCCUGGGAGGGUGGACGGCCACAUUGGGACUGGGAUACGGCCCAGACUCCUACGGGAGGCAGCAGUGGGGAAUAUUGCACCAUGGGCGGAAGCCUGAUGCAGCGACGCCGCGUGGGGGAUGACGGCCUUCGGGUUGUAAACUCCUUUCGACCGCGAGGAAGCCACCUGGUUGGAAGGGUGGUGACGGUAGUGGUAGAAGAAGCACCGGCUAGCUACGUG